rnacentral:rRNA from 1 species
AUUGAACGCUGGCGGCAUGCCUUACACAUGCAAGUCGAACGGUAACAGGUCUUCGGAUGCUGACGAGUGGCGAACGGGUGAGUAAUACAUCGGAACGUGCCUAGUAGUGGGGGAUAACUACUCGAAAGAGUGGCUAAUACCGUAUGAGAUCUACGGAUGAAAGCAGGGGAUCGCAAGACCUUGUGCUACUAGAGCGGCCGAUGGCAGAUUAGGUAGUUGGUGGGAUAAAAGCUUACCAAGCCGACGAUCUGUAGCUGGUCUGAGGGGACGAUCAGCCACACUGGGACUGAGACACGGCCCAGACUCCUACGGGGGGCAGCAGUGGGGAAUUUUGGACAAUGGGCGCAAGCCUGAUCCAGCAAUGCCGCGUGCAGGAUGAAGGCCUUCGGGUUGUAAACUGCUUUUGUACGGAACGAAAAGCCCUGGGUUAAUACCCUGGGGUCAUGACGGUACCGUAAGAAUAAGCACCGGCUAACUACGUGCCAGCCGCCGCGGUAAGAC